rnacentral:rRNA from 1 species
UACGGAAGGCAGCAGUGGGGAAUAUUGGACAAUGGGCGAAAGCCUGAUCCAGCCAUGCCGCAUGAGUGAAGAAGGCCUUCGGGUUGUAAAGCUCUUUUAGUGAGAAAGAAUAAUGACGGUACUCACAGAAGAAGUCCUGGCUAACUCCGUGCCAGCAGCCGCGGUAAUACGGAGAGGGCUAGCGUUAAUCAGAAUUACUGGGCGUAAAGAGCACGUAGGUGGUUUUUUUAAGUCAGAUGUGAAAUCCCUGGGCUUAACCUAGGAACUGCAUUUUGAAACUGAAAUACUAGAGUAUCGUAGAGGGAGGUAGAAUUCUAGGUGUAGCGGUGAAAUGCGUAGAUAUCUGGAGGAAUACCUGUGGCGAAAGCGGCCUCCUAAACGAAUACUGACACUGAGGGUGCGAAAGCGUGGGGAGCAAACAGGGAUUAGAUACC